UACGUAGGGGGCUAGCGUUGUCCGGAAUCAUUGGGCGUAAAGCGCGGGCAGGCGGUUCUGCCAGUCUGAUGUGAAAUCUCUCAGCUCAACUGGGAGCAGCCAUUGGAAACUACAGAACUGGAGUCUGGCAGAGGUAGGCGGAAUUCCGGGUGGAGUGGUGAAAUGCGUAGAGAUCCGGAGGAACACCAGAGGCGAAGGCGGCCUACUGGGCCAGUACGUGACGCUGAGCCGCGAAAGCCAGGGGAGCGAACGGG
rnacentral:rRNA from 1 species